rnacentral:rRNA from 1 species
UAUUAUUCUUAUUAAAAAUAAACAAGACUUGAGUAGUAUUAGAUAAAGGCUUGAAACUUAAUAAAUUUGGCGGUGUUUUAGUCCAUUCAGAGGAAUCUGUCCUGUAAUUGAAAGUACACGAAGGGAAAUACUUAAUUUUGUUUAGUUUGUAUACCGCCGUCGUAAGAAUAUUUUAUUUGGAAGGAAAUUAAAUUUCAGAAUUAAGAAUAAUUUAGGAUGUCAGGUCAAGGUGCAAUAUAUGAUUAAGAAGAGAUGGAUUACAAUAUUAAGUUAAAUAUAAUGGAAUUUGAAUUGUGAAAGAUAAGGAAAGUGGAUUUGAUAGUAAACUUAAAUCUUAUUAAGUUGAUUCAGGCUCUAAAACAUGCACACAUCGCCCGUCGCUCUCAUUAUAAAUGAG